rnacentral:rRNA from 1 species
UACGAAGGGGGCUAGCGUUGUUCGGAUUUACUGGGCGUAAAGCGCACGUAGGCGGAUCGUUAAGUUAGGGGUGAAAUCCCAGGGCUCAACCCUGGAACUGCCUUUAAUACUGGCGAUCUAGAGUCCGGAAGAGGUGAGUGGAACUCCUAGUGUAGAGGUGGAAUUCGUAGAUAUUAGGAAGAACACCAGUGGCGAAGGCGGCUCACUGGUCCGGUACUGACGCUGAGGUGCGAAAGCGUGGGGAGCAACAGG